rnacentral:rRNA from 1 species
UACGUAGGGUGCGAGCGUUAAUCGGAAUUACUGGGCGUAAAGGGUGCGCAGGCGGCGUCGCAAGUCAGGCGUGAAAUCCCCGGGCUUAACCUGGGAACUGCACUUGAAACUACGAUGCUGGAGUAUGGCAGAGGGAGGUGGAAUUCCACGUGUAGCGGUGAAAUGCGUAGAGAUGUGGAGGAACACCGAUGGCGAAGGCAGCCUCCUGGGCCAAUACUGACGCUCAUGCACGAAAGCGUGGGGAGCAAACAGGG